UACAGAGGUCUCAAGCGUUGUUCGGAUUCAUUGGGCGUAAAGGGUGCGUAGGCGGCGCGGUAAGUCGGAUGUGAAAUCUCGGAGCUUAACUUCGAAACUGCAUUCGAUACUGCCGUGCUUGAGGACUGGAGAGGAGACUGGAAUUUACGGUGUAGCGGUGAAAUGCGUAGAUAUCGUAAGGAAGACCGGUGGCGAAGGCGGGUCUCUGGGCCGAUACUGACGCUGAGGAGCGAAAGCGUGGGGAGCGAACAGG
rnacentral:rRNA from 1 species